GCCAGCCAGGAAGGAAGGAGGAGGCAGCCGGAGUGGCCACCCCUGCUCUCUGCAGCAGAAGACCUCUUGCUGCCCUGCCCUGCCCUGCCCAGCCCAGCCCAGCCUUGGCCAGCAGGUGCGCUGCAGAGCACCAUGCAGCAGGAGCAGUCUAUCUGAUCAGCAAAACCUUCCGCUCUCGGUGGAUAGGGUGGAGACAAGGAACAGAAAUGCAGGUCUUCGUGCUAACGAGCCGGGCUGCAGAUCCAGCUGCCCCCCCUCCAUGCAUCUGCCCCACGAAGCUCAGGCCAGCUGUUUGCUGGAGGUUUGCUGCCGCUCUGCCAUGUACCUACCUGCGUUUGGGAAGGGGAAGCCGCGGCACACUUGACAGCCCCAUCUGCUGCUCUCGCUGGAGGAGCCAUGCCUCCUGCAGACAUUCAGCCAGGGCUUUGCAGACAGCGAGACACUUGCUGUGUUUUUGGCAAAGGCUAGAAAGCAAAAGGCUCAGGAAUCUGGAUUCGGCACCCACCUCCCACACACCCACCCAGAGUCCCAGCCCGCACAGAGCUGGCGCCGUUUGGCAGGAGAGGGCUUCUGGGAAGGAUCAUUAUUCUAUCAAAUCCGAGCAUUAUUGCCUGUCGGAGCCUGCAGUUUUUCCCUGCUACAUAACGGAUCAACUUUUAAAUCAGCAAUGCAGCUGCCUUAACACACACACAUCCCCGCCCGACUUCAGCGUUCUCUGGGGAUUCCUCUUUUGCCUUUAGCAUAUGCAUGGACAAACCCCGCAUGCCUGUCGUCGGGGUUUUUAUAUCCAAUAAACUGCGCUUGGACCCUUUGAGCUGCGAUGUGCAGGAUUCAGCCCAGCAGGAGAAGGCUGUCCUCCAGGGGCACAGAGUGAAAACAACAAGGCCCCCACCACCACCGCCGGCCCCCAGCAAAUUGGAGCAAGAAUGCUCUUUCCUCCCACAUGCAGGCACCAAGCGCCCCCUCUAUGCAUUAUGCCCAUUUUUAUUACAACCCCCAAACACUCCUAAGAGCCAAGGUUGUAAAAAGGUGAGGAUGCUUUAGAGCUCCGACGGACGCUUAAAACUGGCUGCUUCUGUAUUGGCCUCUCGCCCGUCCCACGCCCGGCAGGUCACAGGAACAGCGAGAGCCACGACACGGGUGCCUUUUCAAAUAUUCACCGGCUGGAAGGAAGGCACAGCAAGGCUAUUUAUGAGCCGGGUUCAUUAUGGCGAAGAGGGUCUGUUGGCACACCGCUCUCCUGAGAUGCAGUGCUGGGGGUGGGGAGCCCUAUUCUGUGGUCCAGCCAGAGGGGUGUGUGUGUGUGAGAGAGAGAGAGAGUCCAGCGCAGAUUGCUCAGGAGCAAAGCCAGGAGGACUGGGCACAAAAUAAGGUUCUCACAACCCACGCAAAGCUGGCCAGCUGGGAAUCUGUGAGUCAUGCACACGCUCCCGAUUCCUGGGCAUGAGGCCACCAAAGGUUUUGGUGGUGCCGGGUUGCACCAUGCUACCCUGUAGCAACAGGAUCGGGGCAGAUCCCCUGGCACAAGAACAUUGCGUCCCAAGGAGGAAAAGUUAGUGCUUGUGUCAGGAUCUCCGUUGUGAAACGAAAUGCCCUGCGUGCGCCAGUCCCUGUGUAGAAGGCACGGGACAGCCAUCUUGCCUGAGAGGGAGAGGCUGGUGUGAAGCGCGCCCUCUCGCUCUCAUCUCGGCUGAGCUCCUUGUGGUGGGUGCUGAUAUCAUCCGCUGCUGCGUGUCGCCUUAUCAGUGUUGGUUCUGUGUGAGAAUCUGGCCCAUUACGCUGUCUCUCUGUGUGCCUGUGAGGGCCACGCUUUGCUCAUGUGUGGCUAUUCGCCAGCAACGGACGCUUAGUUGUAAUCAGCUCUAAAAGGCAGUCUCUUUAGAGGGCUAAUUGGGCUAAUCACCAGUGGGCGAGCAUGCAGUGCCUCGGACUUCUGCCAAGAGCCACAUCUCCUAGGGCGACGGGAUCCCAGGGAGUGUGCGUUUCGAGGGAUGUAAGCCUUUCCCCCACUUGAUCUCUCUCUGAUUAGGAACAUAGGAAGCUGCCAUAUACUGAGUCAGACCCUUGGUCCAUCUAGCUCAGCGUUAUCUGCACAGACUGGCAGAGGUUGCAGACAGGAGUCUCUCUCAGCUCUAUCUUGGAGAUGCCGCCAGGGAGGGAACUUGGAACCUAGGUGCUCUUCCCAGAGCAGCUCCAUCCCCUAAGAAGGGAAUCUCUUCCAGGGCUCACACAUCAAGUCUCCCUUUUGUAUGCAACCAAGGCAGACCCUGCUUAGCUAAGGACAAGGUAUGCUUGCUGCCACAAGACCAGCUCUCUCCCUCUGCUCAAGAAAGAAAAACCACUUUUAAAAGGUGCCUCUUAGUUGCUUUAGGGGCAAACAGCCACUUCUAUAGGUCGGGAUUUUUGGUGGAAAAAAGACACAAGGGGCAAUGCGUUCACCUCCCCUCCCUGUGUGCCAUGGUCUCGACCAGGAUCAGGCCCGCAUGCUGGUUUUUAGUGGGAGUUGCUCCUGGCACAAAGCACAGCUCUGAAAAGUGAAUCUAGGCAACCAUCUAACUUGACCCUAAGAUCCUUUUUUACCUUUUGUGGACUAGGCUUGCUUCAUUAUAUAUCUGGGAUGUUUGCCCAUGAAACCUGUGCCAUGAUCCCUUGGCUUGCCUUUAUGGUGCCAGAGUCAUAUCACCGUGUAAAUUAGAAGUCUUACUUAAGUGACAUGACUUCCUCCUAAGAAUCCUGGGGACUGUAAUCAGGCGGGGGCAUGGUUGGCGAACCCCAGGCUGCCUCUGAGCCCCCAGGACUCCAUGCUGAGAGGGGGUGUCUGGGUGUGGGCUUGAUAUACCUGCAGCAGCUUCUCUGGGUGAGAGAGGGCUUCACUGUCCGUUCCAGAGAUGGCCGUCCUUAUGCACGAAGUCUGGCUCCAUCUGCUGAAUUAGCCCAAGCUUUGCUUUGCUUCAUUAAACUCCCCGCAUUUGCAACAACCUCAGGUCCUCAUGAUUAGGUAAAUACAGUUGCCAACUGGCCAGGAAACACAUCCUGCACCCAGAUCUGCAGAAACCGGAAGCCGGUUUCUCGUGAUGGCACGGAGGUCAGCGUUCUCACUUGCCAACGUGUGGCUGUCAAGCUGCAGCUAAAGGCAGAGGAGCAGGAGCUGGCUGAAGGAAGGAGGGAGAGGGCUGGCCGUUUGACAAGGAAGGAGCUGUUCACAUUUCAAGCAGCUGUGAAGAGGAGUGGAGGGACGUGGGAGCCCGGAACCAGCACCCAGGCCCUGGACUGGAAGCCCCGUUGUUGCUGCGGCUGGUGGUGGACAUGAAUGGAGAACGCAUGACCAAUUCUCCAUGCUGGCAAGGCAGAUGGAGAAAGGCUCAUUACUUAUGCAUGGAACAUUCACAGACUUGACAUCCAUUGCGGUCUUCCUGGUCUCCGUAGCACAGAUUCGGGGGUACCUUCUCUGAAAGCCACAUGGCUCUGUAGUGGCCAGGAGUUCACAGUGACUCGACGGCACAAGUUGACUUUUAGCGUCAUCUGCCAGAGGUCUGGGUUUUGGUGAUGCUGCUCAGGAAAGAACCAGCAGGCAGCAAGAAUGCACCGGAGUUCGACAGAUUCUCAUGGGAACAGAGGAAUUAAAGUGCUCCUUCCACCAACGUGCCCCCUUUCUACUGUGAAUGCCACGCUGUGACGACUCUGUUUAUCAAUCUCACUUAAAGGCCACGAGUCCCUCACUUGGAUGGCAGAGAAUGUCACCUCCACGCAGAUCCUGUCCCUGUUUCAAGGAUCUGGCCGCUUGGAGUGGAGACCACCCGUAAAAGAAAGUGAGCAUGCCAUUCAUCAGUGCCAAAGACUGACAUGCCCUUUGAGACAAGCGGAGUUUGUCUGGGACGGGAGGAUGGUUUUUGUUUUUUUUAAAAUAGAAGCUGGUCUUUGUCAUCAUCACACAACACAUUCAGGAAUAACGACACACAAGAAAAUGAAGUGCAGACAGCCGGCGUGUCUGGGCAUGAGCUGGGAAGCAUUCGCUUUUCAAAAGAACUGUUUGGAGCAAGAAUUUCCAAAGAGUCACCUACGUCUGGAUUAACCAGCAGGCUGGGCUAGUUGGCUCAGGGAAGGCAGGGAAUAUAGGAACAGUGGAAGCUGCCUUAUACUGAGUCAGACCCUUGGUCCAUCUAGCUCAGGAUUGUCUACACAGACUGGCAGCGGCUACUCCAAGGUUGCAGGCAGGAGUCUCUCUCAGUCCUGUCUUGGACAUGCUGCCGGGAGGGAGCUUUCUCCAUGCAAGCAAGCAAGCAAGCAUUUUUUCCAAAGUGGCCCCAUUAUCCUACAGUGCUCACACAUGUCAUCUCCCAUUCAAAUGCAAACCAGGGCAGACCCUGCUUAGCAAAGGGGACAAUUCUUGCUUGCUACCACCAGACCAGCUACCCUCCCCACUGCCUUGAUCCUUGGGGGAACAGUAUCCCUAGGGGACAUGCAUUGACAGCUGGAUUUUGCUUUAGUGGGCCAGAUCCAGGAACAAGGGCUGACGUGAGUCCGUGGAAACAAGAGUCCUCAAGAAGACUGUGUGGAGUCAUGACUCACAGGUCCUGCAAGUCAUGGCCCAAUGGGAGGCAGUCUGUGUCCAGGAAAGGUCUCCAGAGCAGACCAGCAGACAGGAGAGAGAGCUGGCCUUGUGGCAGCAAGCAUGAAUGGUCCCCUUUGCUAAGCAGGGUCUGCCGUGGUUGCAUCUGAAUGGGAGAUGACAUGUGUGAGCACUGCAAGAGAUUCCCCUGAGGAGAUAAUGGGGCCGCUCUGGGGAGAGGUUCUGCAGGCUUGCACACAGAAGGUUCCAAGACCCCUCCCUGACAUCUUAUAUUUCUUUGUAUGGGUACUUUGCAUAUUCCUGAUACUAUUCUUUUAUUGUUUACCUGCAACGUAAUUGAAAUAAGAUGCACUGACUAGUCUAUGCUCAAUCCGCCUAAAUGCAACCUGAAACUGCAGCCUAAGACAACCUAUUUUUGUAACCUACUAAGUAUUUUUGAAUUUAUUUAAAACCUAAAAGCCUCAGACAGUAGCAGUCUGUAGUAACUGAAUAAAAGUGGUUUUUUGUUCUUUUCUUUUUACAAGCCUCUCAGAGUUGGUUUUUAACUCAAGAAAAAGGGAGUGCAGAAAGGGGAUUUCUCUGGUUCAAAAGCCUCCUCAAGCGCUCAGCAGCUAUCAGUUUUCUCAUCACGUGGAAGGUUUUUUGUACUUAUCCAAUAGCAAAAUAAAUAGUGUUUCCCCUGGGAUUCCACCCUAAGCCCAGGGAGGUUCAAGCUCUGUCAAUAAGAGGGAUGGCAGUGGCAGCAUUUUAAUUCUACCAGAAAAUAUAGAUUCAUUUUAUGAGAAGCCCAGCCAGGGAUGAUUCCACAUUCCCCCCCUCUGAGACAAAAGCUGUAAUCUGCUACAAAAACAAUCUCAAGGCAGUUUACAAUACAUUUUAAAAAAUAUAAAACUAAAAAACAGUUGUGCAAUAAAGUAAAGCAUGAAUGGUCCCCUUAGCUAAGCAGGGUCCACUCUGGUUGCCUCUGAAUGGGAGACUACAUGCGUGAGCACUGGAAGAUAUUCCCCUCAGGGGCUGGAGCCGCUCUGGGAAGAGCAUCUAGGUUCCAGGUUCCCUCCCUGGCAGCAUCUCCAAGAUAGGGCUGAGAGAGA